CUAUGAUAACCCAAGUCAAGUAACCCAGUAGUAACAAGUCACUUAGUUGGGGUGGCCAGAUUGGGGAGGCUUAUAGUAUGGAGGGUGACCAUAUGGAGGACCUGGCUUGUACUUAGGGGGUGUGUACACAGGAGUUGGUGGUUUCUCCCCCUUGGGUGGUGGUGGUUUCUCCACUUUAGGGGGUGUGUGCACAGGAGUUGGUGGUUUCUCCCCCUUGGGUGGUGCGUAUACAGGACUUGGUGGUGGUUUUUCCCCCUUGGUUGGUGGUGGUUUUUCAACCUUGGGUGGUGAGUACACAGGAGUUGGUGGUGGUUUUUCUUUCUCCGGUGGACUAUAAACUGGAGUGGGUG